AUGGAGCCAUUACGCGUCGCCUUCCCUGGCCUAUUCUCGAUUUGUGUAGAUCCGUCUGUUCUUGUGGCCACGACCUUCCAAGAUGGACAGUGGAACCUUGAGUUCCGUCGCUCGUUCGGACCGGCCGAGAUUAAUGCCUGGACUACAUUGCGGGCCGCCCUGCCACUCGUGCUCCCGGAUCAUCCGGACACAGUUUCAUGGCGGCAAACGCCGACAGCGGAGUUCUCAGUGGGCACGGCUUACCAGGCCCUUUGCCCGCCGACAACUCACCCCUGGCUUGUCCCUCUAUGGAAAGCCCCCGUCCCAUUAAAGAUUAAGAUUUUUAUUUGGCAACUUCUACGAGAUCGUCUCCCCUCGGGGACAGAGGUACUUAAGCGGCACGGACCUGGGGAUGGUAUUUGCCCCCUCUGUGCAGUACCGGAGACUGGGACACAUAUUCUCUUCUCUUGUACGGCAGCGAGGGUAUUAUGGACUUUCGUCCGCGAGGCGUUGGGGCCUGACUAG
rnacentral:rRNA from 1 species